rnacentral:rRNA from 1 species
AUUGAACGCUGGCGGCAUGCCUUACACAUGCAAGUCGAACGGCAGCACGGGAGCAAUCCUGGUGGCGAGUGGCGAACGGGUGAGUAAUAUAUCGGAACGUGCCCAGUCGUGGGGAUAACGUAGCGAAAGUUACGCUAAUACCGCAUACGAUCUAAGGAUGAAAGCGGGGGAUCGCAAGACCUCGCGCGAUUGGAGCGGCCGAUAUCAGAUUAGGUAGUUGGUGAGGUAAAGGCUCACCAAGCCAACGAUCUGUAGCUGGUCUGAGAGGACGACCAGCCACACUGGAACUGAGACACGGUCCAGACUCCUACGGGAGGCAGCAGUGGGGAAUUUUGGACAAUGGGCGCAAGCCUGAUCCAGCAAUGCCGCGUGCAGGAUGAAGGCCU